AUAAAGACAAUGAUGAGGAAGAGUAAAUAGGGAAUAUUUUUUAGAGAGUGAGAUUUUGGUGGGAACUCAUAAAUACAACUAUUGAAGGUAGCCUUUAAGUUGUGAGCUGAACUUUGAGUAGGCUUUACCGGUAAUACCGUUAUUAUUCUGAGUAAAAAUUUUGGGUGGUACCGCGUGACCAAACUUCUCGCCCCAAGG
rnacentral:ncRNA from 1 species